CCCUGCACGGCGCGCGCGCCCGCUGAGGACGCUUUUUACGUUGCUUCCGGCCGGUAGACAGUGACGCAACUGCUCUGCGCCCGCCCCUCGCCCCGCCGCCCAGGCGCCGGCCGGGCUCUCACCGCUCCGAAAAACUAUUGGCUCUCCCUGCCGCCGCUCAUCGGACACCACGCCGCAUUGGCUCACGGGGCGAGGCGGAGCGGCGGGCUCCUCGUUACUGUGGCAACGGAGGACGCGGCCGGUGCCGGGUGACGGUUGCAGGCGGCGGUUGCAGGCGGCGGUAAGCUAUGGAUAUGGAUAUAGAUAGUAUUUCCUCAGUCUCUUCUCUGCAGUCCCUUGCCAAGCUACUUAGUGAUGCUCAAGAAGAAGAUGACGACGACGACGACGGGGUGAGUCUUCCACAAGAAAUGCUGCUGCUUCUACAUGUUGUACCACAGUCUCACCUUGUUAACUAAGAAGCAAAUUUGGCUUUUCCCAGGGUGAGUAAAGAAAGCCUUAUGCAGCUUUGGACUGACUGAAACAGCUAGAAGGUAUUUGUAGGGUAAGAAGCUCCUGAGGGAGAAAGUAAGGAAGAUGCCCCAGGAAUAGGAGGCGAGAUUGUGAGCAUGGAAUGGGAGGAAGAUUUAUUUUCUCAGCCUAAAGGAAAUGAGAACAUGCAGUUGAAAGAGUGUUAGAUACUUCAGACUUCCCCCUACUUUUCCCUGAAGUCUGCCAGAGAUGAAGGCAAUUACAACUAGAUACAAAGGACUUCAUAUGAAGGAAAAAGUUGCUGCUUAACUUCUGAGUAGAGACUAAAAUAUCCAGAGGCAACUGAGUGUGCUAAUUCUGCAUGUCAGACACUGAAGAACUGUAGAGAUAAUUGAUCACUGAAGUACAAUAUUAUCCCUUAUCCCUUCUUCUUUAUGUCAUUUCUUUUACAGACGCUUACUGUAGAAACAGUUGUCAGACAGGAAAGAAUAGAAGAGCUGAAAGGCUCGGUAUCACAUUGCAAGUCCCUGGAUACCUCAUUUUAAUUUCUGGCAAUGGUUUCCUUCAGGUUUGAGUAGAUCCAGAAAGUUUUGUUUACCUAACACAUACACAUGCUUGUUCUCCAGCGGCUUAGCAAAAAACUAAGUAUUGAAACUCUUCAGAUAUUGUUCCAAAAAUUCUAUUCAGUUAUUACUUCUAUACAACACCUAACUAAAAAAAAAAAAAAAAAAAAAAAAAAGAAAAAGUUUAAGUAGAACUGAUUCAGUUGUUUUAAAGUACUGGGUUUUGUGCAGAGAAACAUCAAAUCAACCCCGAGGGCACAGCUAUACUAGGAUCAUUUUGACACUAUUUCUACAGCAGCAUUUUCUUCCCCAAAGUAAACUAUACAAGAGAGAAAACGUUGCACACAGGUCUCCCCAAUAGACGUGGCCAGCAGGGCUGAAUUAAUCAAGGCAGGAAGACUGCAACGUCCAAUGUCACUAGCCCAGAAAAAGCCCUCAGAAGAAAGGCCAAAAGUUGAAUAAAACGGAGCUUUGAACGAUAGGCAGGCUCUUUCAGAUUCGACGCCGACAAACAAUAAUCAAAACCCAGUCUGCAAAUUGUUUCACGACAUCACCUUGACAGCUAAACAUCUGUCCAAAGGGUCAUUCAAAUGACAGAAACUCCCAUGCGAGUUUCAGGAAAACAUCCUCUUGCUGUAAGAGAACUGUUCAGUCUAAUCUCAAUGUCCUGAUUUCCAAACAUCUCAUUCCUGAGUUUAAAUAUUAAAUAUUUCAUUUAAUUGAAAAUAGUUGCUCAUUCUAACAUACCAAGAGUGUGAGGACAUUUUUAAGGCAAUGUUUUUUUCAAUUCUGUAUUGUGAAUUCUUUGCCACCAGGCGGAAGUGCAGCAACAUAGCUCAUCACAGGUCGGAUUUUUCUUUCCCCAAGACAUCCAGUUUCAGAGCACCUUCAAAACUGUUACUAAAUAUUUAGUGUCAGGUGUAUUUCUUUAUUUGUCCACUUUUCAGUUUGUCUCAGUUCAGGUUUCGCAACCUUGCCUUCUAAAUCCUAUCCAUCUAACCAUGCAAGUGCAUCUAGAGACUGAUACUUGAGUAUGUAAGACUCUACUACUAUUGCUUUCUAUGAAGAUUUCCUCUGUGCAAGGAAAUGAUUGCUGCCAUAUGCCUAUCCGAUGAUGCCAAAAUCUCUUGUCGUAAUUCACCAUUUCCAGUGUUGGCUUCCAGCCUCAUCGGCUUUCUUAGUAAUAAGGUGUGUACAUAGUCGUAGUUUAAGAGAGAAGAAUCAGGUGGGUCUGUGCGCGUCUAGAUGAAAAAGUACGUAUGUAUGUAUGCAGCUAUACUGCCAUCUGGCAGUAUUUGGGAAUGAUGACACACAGGCAACUGUGGGACUCAGGAUGGCGCGGCCCAUGGAAGAGGGGUUUGCGCUGGGGUGCUCCCCAAGAGUUAAGGAACCCCGGUGCACCACGGCCGGAGUCACCACACUGUGGGGUUGCUGUAGCCCUCCAGCGACCCCUGAGUGCUGAGCAAACCUAGUCAGCAAAGGAGAAGUGACACUGCGGACUCGCCCUGUAAGCCUCUGGGUAGCGUGGAACUGGGUUAUCUGUUGAGUACGCAUACUGUUGGGUGUUGAACAUGCGUACUGUUAUCUGUUGCCCAGCCUCUUGACCACACUGUUAUUGGCUGAGGCCGUCGGUUCUGCUGUGUGACUGUGGUCUGGCACUGUUCGAAUGGGCAAGGAACUAAGCCCGGGAAGGAUAAAAGAGAGUAAGCUACCUACCUCUGUGUGGACUCAGACUCGCCCUCAGUUGGCCUGCAGACCAGACAACCCACCGAUCAGCGGGGACGCCACUGAUGGCGACCGCCAGGGAGAACCUGAAUCAUCCCGGCACAGCCCGAGCGUGGUGAGAAGAGUCUGGGGAAAACUGUACCGGAGGGGUGGCCCGUAAGUACAAGGAAAGGGUGAGAAUGGUCACUGUACCGCGCAUCCGAGAAAAGUCACUGUACUGAGCAUCCGUGGCUUAACCAGGGAGCUCUAAUAUGUGUAUUCUAUUUUCAGUUCUAUUGUAUUUCUAGCUUUACUAUUCAGCUUUGUUAUACUUGUA